AACGAACGCUGGCGGCAUGCCUAACACAUGCAAGUCGAACGAAGCCUUCGGGCUUAGUGGCGCACGGGUGCGUAACACGUGGGAAUCUGCCCUUAGGUACGGAAUAACUCAGGGAAACUUGAGCUAAUACCGUAUGAUGUCUUCGGACCAAAGAUUUAUCGCCUAAGGAUGAGCCCGCGUCGGAUUAGCUAGUUGGUGGGGUAAAGGCCUACCAAGGCGACGAUCCGUAGCUGGUCUGAGAGGAUGAUCAGCCGCACUGGGACUGAGACACGGCCCAGACUCCUACGGGAGGCAGCAGUGGGGAAUAUUGGACAAUGGGCGAAAGCCUGAUCCAGCAAUGCCGCGUGAGUGAAGAAGGCCUUCGGGUUGUAAAGCUCUUUUACCCGGGAAGAUAAUGACUGUACCGGGAGAAUAAGCCCCGGCUAACUCCGUGCCAGCAGCCGCAGUAA
rnacentral:rRNA from 1 species